UGGGGAAUCUUGGACAAUGGGGGCAACCCUGAUCCAGCCAUGCCGCGUGAGUGAUGAAGGCCUUAGGGUCGUAAAGCUCUUUCGCCUGUGAAGAUAAUGACGGUAGCAGGUAAAGAAACCCCGGCUAACUCCGUGCCAGCAGCCGCGGUAAUACGGAGGGGGUUAGCGUUGUUCGGAAUUACUGGGCGUAAAGCGCACGUAGGCGGACCAGAAAGUUGGGGGUGAAAUCCCGGGGGCUCAACCCCGGAACUGCCUCCAAAACUAUUGGUCUAGAGUUCGAGAGAGGUGAGUGGAAUUCCAAGUGUAGAGGUGAAAUUCGUAGAUAUUUGGAGGAACACCAGUGGCGAAGGCGGCUCACUGGCUCGAUACUGACGCUGAGGUGCGAAAAGUGUGGGGAGCAAAACAGGAUUAGAUACCCUGGUAGUCCACACCGUAAAACGAUGAAAUGCCAGUCGUCGGGUAGCAUGCUAUUCGGUGACACACCUAACGGAUUAAGCAUUCCGCCUGGGGAGUACGGUCGC
rnacentral:rRNA from 1 species